GUUAAAAGAUAACGCAGGUGUCCUAAGAUGAGCUCAACGAUAACAGAAAUCUCGUGUGGAACAAAAGGGUAAAAACUCGUUUGAUUCUGAUUUCUAGUACGAAUAUGAACCGUGGAAGCGUGGACUACUGAUCCUUUAGACCUUCAGAAUUUGAAGCUAGAGGUGUCAGAAAAGUUGCCACAAGGAUAACUGGCUUGUGGCAGCCAAGCGUUCAAAGCGACGUUGAUUUUCGAUCCUUCGAUGUCGGCUCUUCCUAUCAUUGUGAAGCAGAAUUCACCAAGUGUUGCAUGUCUAGUACCCAACAAUGAAUGAAUUGUCCCUGUCCCUCCCUUUUUGCAAUAAGAG
rnacentral:ncRNA from 1 species